UACGUAGGGUGCGAGCGUUGCCCGGAUUUAUUGGGCGUAAAGGGCGCGCAGGCGGUGGUGUGCGUCGCAGGUGAAAGCUCCCGGCUCAACUGGGAGAGGGCCUGCGAUACGGCAUCACUGGAGCAAGGUAGGGGGCAGUGGAAUUCCCGGUGUAGUGGUGGAAUGCGUAGAGAUCGGGAGGAACACCAGUGGCGAAGGCGGCUGCCUGGACCUGUGCUGACGCUGAGGCGCGAAAGCGUGGGGAGCGAUCCGG
rnacentral:rRNA from 1 species